CUGCAUAGCAUUACUGCGCAUGGAACUACUUUUUCUGUCAAAUUUGUUGUAUAACAUGAUGUUUUGGUGCUUAAUUUGUAUAAUGAUUACCUAAUUUGAUGUUUAAUCGGCUUUUCCUGAAUCCCUUCUUAUUAUCCAACAUUCACUUAUCCAACGUUCUGCUGGCCUGUUUAUGUUGGAUAAUAAGAAGGGAUUCAGGAAAAGCCAAUUAAACAUCAAAUUAGGUAAUCGUUAUACAAAUUAAGCACCAAAACAUCAUAUUAUACAACAAAUUUGACAGAAAAAGUAGUUCCAUGCGCAGUAAUGCUAUGUAGUAUUUACAGUAGAGUCUCACUUAUCCAACACUCGCUUAUCCAACGUUCUGGAUUAUCCAACGCAUUUUUGUAGUCAAUGCUUUCAAUAUAUCGUGAUAUUUUGGUGCUAAAUUCAUAAAUACAGUAAUUACUAUAUAGCAUUACUGUGUAUUGAACUACUUUUUCUGACAAAUUUGUUGUCUAACAUGAUGUUUUGGGGCUUAAUUUGUAAAAUCAUAACUUAAUUUGAUGUUUAAUAGGGUUAUCCUUAAUUCCUCAUUUUCCAACAUAUUCACUUAUCCAACGUUCUGCCGGCCCGUUUAUGUUGGAUAAGUGAGACUCUACUGUACUGUAUUUACAAAUUUACCACUAAAAUAUCACAAUGAAUUUAAAACACUGACUACAAAAGCAUUGAUUAUGGAAAGGCAGACUGCGUUGGAUAAUCCAGAACAUUGUAUAAGCGAAUGUUGGAUAAGUGAGAUUCUUCUUUAAUAUGAAAUAAUUACUGGGAUAGAGUAAUGCAGAACAAUAUAAUCUCUAAAACCAGGGACAGGAAAUAAACAGGGGAAUUCCAGACAGGAAACAGUCGGGGGCAGCUGAACACCUCCCAACAAAGUAUUCCCAUCAUCUGGCAAGGUCUGGCAAAUCCUGGUUUCUUAGGGCCACAGACAGUAGAAGCACAUAAAAUAUCGCAAACAACAUCACUCUAAAAACAAGGGAAUUCCAGACAGGAAACAAUCAGGGCCAGCUAACACCUCCCAACAAAGUAUUCCCCAUCAUCAAAGUCUGGAAAAUCCUCUGUUUUCUCAGGGCCACAGACAGUAGAAGCACAUAAAAUAUCGCAAACAACACCACUCUGAAAACAAGGGAAUUCCAGACAGGAAACAAUCAGGGCCAGCUAACACCUCCCAACAAAGUAUUCCCAUCAUCAAAGUCUGGAAAAUCCUCUGUUUUCUCAGGGCCACAGACAGUAGAAGCACAUAAAAUAUCACAAACAACACCACUCUGAAAACAAGGGAAUUCCAGACAGGAAACAAUCAGGGCCAGCUAACACCUCCCAACAAAAAAUUCACUCAGGGAGGAAACAGCCAGGCUUUAAAGCUGCAAGGCCAUUACAUCCUACUCAUUUUUCCUAAUUGCAGCAUUCAUACUUGCCUCCA
rnacentral:lncRNA from 1 species